CUCUCUUCCUGCUCUUUCCUCCUCUGGUGUCACCGUGUCGUGACUCUUGUGCUCUGUCGCCACGCACAGUAAGCAGACGCAGGUCCCGUCGGUCCUACAGAAGAUUUCCAGAAGUUUCUGGUGUUUUGCGCAGAGUUUCUCUUCGAUGUUUCCAGUCGGCUCCUCCAGUUUGUGUCGUUUGUAGGCGCCAUGCUCCUUGUGCGGCUGCAGGUGAGUCUCACAGUAGGAGAUCAUGCAGGUCUUCACGGCGUUCCGUUUCCUAACUGGACACACAUCACAGGGGACAUCGACCUGUUCGGCACAACUCUGAGAUGGACUCGCAUCUACUCGCACUUCCUUCAGCGUCUCUAUUAUUUCUGUUAAUACGGUGUUUCUGUUAAUCUCUGGUCUCACGUUAAAUGUUCUUCUGCAAUGAGGGCAGUUGUAGGUGCCUUCUUUAUCCGACUGGUCCCAGAAGUCAUUAAUACAACGCAUACAGUAACUGUGUCCACGCGGGAUG